GCUGGGUGUGGUGGCUCACACCUGUAAUCCCAGCACUCUGGGAGGCCGAGGCGGGUGGAUUACCUGAGGUCAGGAGUUCGAGACUAGCCUGGCCAACAUGGUGAAACCCCGUCUCUA
ensembl:misc_RNA Metazoa_SRP Metazoan signal recognition particle RNA